GCAGCGCUCGUGCUAGCUGCGCGACCGCUGGCGGGCGCAUGCGCUUAGUCACCCAAAAGUUCUACCUUGCAGUACUUCUGCGCUUAGGGUUGUCCUCGUGAUAACUGCCUUGGGUUUCUAUUCUGAAUGGUUCAGUAGCAGCUUGCAUGUUUUUUGCACUUACUCUGUGCCAGGCACUGUGGUAAGCGCUUUAUGUGCGUUAUUUCAUUAACUCCUUCCACCGACUUACUCAGGAUCCACAAAGUCAUGUGGAUUUUGUGAGAAUUCUGACCCUGAGUGAAUCCGACUCCCCAUCUUGCUUUCCCUGAACCCAAACAGCUAAGCACAGUUGGAAGGAGCAUCUCAUGGGAUGGACUACACCACAUGAAUUCAUGACCACGCCCCAGAUGGGACUAGGACAGAUGUCAUCUGGCCAGCUCAGUCUUUGUCGCAGUGAUAACGGAAUAAAAAGCCCAGCAGCUGAUGUCA